rnacentral:tRNA from 1 species
GGUUCUGUGGUGUAAUGGUUAGCACUUUGGACUCUGAUUCCAAGGAUCCGAGUUCGAGUCUCGGCAGAACCU